rnacentral:rRNA from 1 species
CAAAGGCUUGGUCCCGACUUUACUAUCAGCUUUAGCUCAAAUUAUACAUGCAAGUAUCCGCACCCCUGUGAGAAUGCCCUCAAUCCCCCUCCCGGGGACGAGGAGCCGGCAUCAGGCACACCAUGAUUAAUAGCCCAAGACGCCUUGCUACGCCACACCCCUAAGGGAUUUCAGCAGUAAUAAACAUUAAGCCAUAAGUGAAAACUUGACUUAAUUAGGGCUACUUAGGGCCGGUAAAACUCGUGCCAGCCACCGCGGUUAUACGAGAGACCCUAGUUGAUAAAUACGGCGUAAAGAGUGGUUAUGGAAAAAACAAAUAAAGUCAAACAACCUCUUAGCUGUUAUACGCAUAUGAGAGCAUGAAGCCCCCCUACGAAAGUAGCUUUAACACCUCCUGACUCCACGAAAGCUAAGAAACAAACUGGGAUUAGAUACCCCACUAUG